GAAGGAUCAUUACCGAGUGAGGGCCCUCUGGGUCCAACCUCCCACCCGUGUUUAUUUUACCUUGUUGCUUCGGCGGGCCCGCCUUUACUGGCCGCCGGGGGGCUCACGCCCCCGGGCCCGCGCCCGCCGAAGACACCCUCGAACUCUGCCUGAAGAUUGUAGUCUGAGUGAAAAUAUAAAUUAUUUAAAACUUUCAACAACGGAUCUCUUGGUUCCGGCAUCGAUGAAGAACGCAGCGAAAUGCGAUACGUAAUGUGAAUUGCAAAUUCAGUGAAUCAUCGAGUCUUUGAACGCACAUUGCGCCCCCUGGUAUUCCGGGGGGCAUGCCUGUCCGAGCGUCAUUGCUGCCCUCAAGCACGGCUUGUGUGUUGGGCCCCGUCCUCCGAUUCCGGGGGACGGGCCCGAAAGGCAGCGGCGGCACCGCGUCCGGUCCUCGAGCGUAUGGGGCUUUGUCACCCGCUCUGUAGGCCCGGCCGGCGCUUGCCGAUCAACCCAAAUUUUUAUCCAGGUUGACCUCGGAUCAGGUAGGGAUACCCGCUGAACUUAAG
rnacentral:rRNA from 1 species